rnacentral:tRNA from 1 species
UCCCUGGUGGCUCAGUGGUAAAGUAUCUGCCUGCGGUGCAGGAGACCCAGGUUUGAUCCCUGAAUUGAGAA